GACGAACGCUGGCGGCGUGCUUAACACAUGCCAGUCGAACGGAAAGGCCCUGCUUUUGUGGGGUGCUCGCGUGGCGAACGGGUGAGUAACACGUGAGUAACCUGCCCUUGACUUUGGGAUAACUUCAGGAAACUGGGGCUAAUACCGGAUAGGAGCUCCUGCUGCAUGGUGGGGUUUGGAAAGUUUCGGCGGUUGGGGAUGGACUCGCGGCUUAUCAGCUUGUUGGUGGGGUAGUGGCUUACCAAGGCUUUGACGGGUGGCCGGCCUGAGAGGGUGACCGGCGACAUUGGGACUGAGAUACGGCCCAGACUCCUACGGGAGGCAGCAGUGGGGAAUAUUGCACAAUGGGCGGAAGCCUGAUGAAGAAACGCCGCGAGCGGGAUGAAGGCCUUCGGGGUGUAAACCGCUGUCGGCUGUGACGAAGCGUGAGUGACGGUAAUGGGUAAAGAAGCACCGGCUAACUACGUG
rnacentral:rRNA from 1 species